rnacentral:misc_RNA from 1 species
GCCAUCAUGGCACGCGGUUUGAGAUGUUGUCGCUGAACAUACUGAUUUAACGAAUUUAUCGUGAUGUUACAAAUUAUACUUUCUUUAUAUUAACUACUUAUUUAAUCAAGUUUAUACGUUUUUUUACUUUACUUUCUGUGUUCAUUGAGUUAAAAAAAUUAACAAGAAACAAUGGUUAAAUUAACAGAAGAAAUGAUUGUGGCACGUACACGAAUGUCAGAUUUUUCUGCCGUAAAGAAACUCAAUUGCUGGGGAUCAGAAUUAACAGAUGUAAGCAUUUUACGUAAAAUGGAAAAUGUGGAAUUAUUGUCAUUAAGUGUAAACAAUAUCGACACGCUUGCUGAUUUUCAAUAUUGCCACAAUCUACAAAGUCUAUUUAUUAGAAAGAAUAAUAUCAAAGAUCUAAAUGAAAUUUGUUAUCUCCAAGAGUUGCCCAAUUUAAGGAAUUUAUGGCUUGACGAAAAUCCUUGUGCAGAAAAAGAUGGAUAUCGACUGACUGUUCUCCGAACUUUACCAAAUCUCGAAAAGCUAGAUAAUAAAGUAGUAUCUCCAGAAGAAGUGCAAACUGCGUUGUCAAGAGGAAGGGUACUCGUGCAUCCGCUUGUUAUGGAUGAAUCUCCGCCACAAUCGGAAAUGAUUAGUCCAGAGGAAGUACCUGUUGAAUAUAUUGAAGAAACACGUGUGGAAAAGCAUAGGAGAUAUAGUUCAUCUAGCGACCAGAGAAGUUACGAUGAAAUGCAUCAUACACAAGAAGAGUAUCAUGAUUCUGACAGAAGAAAUGCAAAUUGUAAAACGUCAUUAACUCAUCAUUAUGCUCCAAGCAAUCAAUACGCAUAUGAGCUUCAUAAUGGGCAAUCAAAAAGUCAGAAUAAAGAUGAGAACAUGUGUACAGAAUCUCGCAAUUACAUUGAGACUUUGGCUACUAACACUCUUGAUAUAUCUAAGGAAAGCGAUGAUCAACCAGCAGUUUCAAGACAUAACGGAGAUUAUGAUGAGAGACAAGGAUAUUCUGAAUUUGUUAAUAAUGAUGCAUCUCAACAUUUAUAUACGUCACCCUCGCCACGUACUCAAUACGGUGUUAAAUAUGAAACUCAAGAAGAUAAUCGUUUUGACAGAAAUAAUUACGAGUAUGACGAUAAGAGGCAAUUAGAGUGCGAUGAACCAUUACCUCAACCGUCGUCUCAACAUAGACGAAUGCCUACUCAUCAUAGUACUGAAAGGGAAGAUACAAGUCAAGUGCCUGGUUGGGUAAGACAUUCGGAUAAGGAAAAAUGUAGACCACAAUUUCAUUAUCAUAGACGACCAGUUACAAGGAACUCAAAUAUACUCUCUGCCGUAUUAUGCUUAGUCAAAGAAUUGGACUAUCCCAGUUUGGAGGUAGUAGAAAUGGCAGUUAGAAAUCGAAUGGAUGAAUUAGAAGAAUGAUGUUUCUGACGCCGUCCUCAAAAUCUUCAGGGGACGGUUGCCUUUUCUCGUGUUGGCAGUAUUACUUCUAUACCAAGCCCAGAAUUUUCUGACUCGCUCGACUCUAAUCAGUGCGUUGAUAAUGAUAUGAAUUUUAACAACGAACAUCGUGUAUACAAUCAUUAUGGCAUUGAUGAAGCUAGUGAAAAAUCACAAAUGCAUAAUAGAAAUGGAUCUACUGAAAACUUUAAUUUAAAUCGAAAUUCAAAAAUUUUUUUUAAUGAUUCGAAUCAUAGGUUAAUCAGGAAUAAUUCACAUACAUACAAACUUCGUGAUUCAGGAUCAGAUAAUAUAACAACGACAACAAAUAACAGUGAACAUAAAAGACUAAACGACGUUAGAAGAGUAGCAAGCAGCGACAGUAUCCCCCGUGGUAACAAUAGUGGUGUAAAUUUCAAUCAAGGGAGCAAAGAUCCAAACCAAGAUUGUUUAAGACGAUCAAAAAGUCCUGACGUUAGAAAUGCGAUAAUGCCACUUCGUUAUAUUCAGUCAUCAAAAGGAACUUGGACGUACAACUUAGACAGGUCAUACAAUUAAUGAGGAUAAAAAUAAAAAGAGUACUUAAUUAACUAUUGCUUCUAAAUUACAACGUAAAUCAUUUGAAUAUAUGCAAGAUGGUAAAUUAUAUGUUUUAUUUAUAAAUUAAGGAAACAUUGUUCCAAAACAAAAACAGUAUUUAUUGUACUUAUCAAAUUUUUGUAAUUAUAAAUUAUAAAAAUAGCAAAUUUUUUCAAAAACAUCAAUUAUUCGUGCUUUGGAUUAGAAAAUACUAAUAUAUUUGUCAGGCUUGUCAUCAUUUUGUUAAGACGUAAUUAAUUAGGUUAAUAGAAUGAAAUAUAUCUAUAAAAUACGAACAUCGAUAUUCAUCGUAGAGUAAAGAAAAUUUUUCUUUUAAUCAUAAUACCUUGAUCCAAAAGCAU